CUUCCCGCCCCACCCUCUUAGAGCAUGACCUCACUUCCGGCUCCAAACUAAACUCUGGAUUGAAACCUGAGCAGGCUACUUGUUUUCGAGUCCAGAGAGCAGCUUUAGGGGGAGGAGAAAGAAGCACUGGGGGAGGGGGGAGGGGGGAGGGUGUGUCAGACGUUUUUGCUCUCGUACUCCCAGGGGAUCUCUGGGGAGGAACCCAGCUAAGUGACCCACCGACAUUGUCCAGAAGUUCACAGCAUUUUAGUUACCUCAGCCCAGAUUCAGGGGAAAUAGACUUUAGAGGAAGGUCAGGAGAAGCUCUGGUAGAAUACUUUAAAAAAUAUUCUGAGGCAACAGAACUGGCAGGGACCUGGUUCUAACUGCAUUUUGCCGAGACGACCAUUGAACUCUCAACAUGUCCUUACCAAAGCUCAUUCUCUGCCUUGCUAAACCACUUCUCCUCCAGACUGUUUCAGUUUAGGGCAGCAUUCCCAAGACAUCCAGACUUGAAGACUAGGGGUGAUGGAUUCAGUAUAGGUAUUGAAGUACUAGCCAAGCUGCUAACAGCUGAAUGACAAUUGAACCAGUGAAGUGGAUUCCUCUGUCACUCUGGAUUUCCUUGGGAAUGCCCCAGGCAAUGCUAAGCAACUUAUCAAGUCUCCAGUGACUCAAAGAGUGCAAGUAUUCCACCAUGGGAUGACACAGAGAGUGAGGGAGUAUUUAAGUGGCCAUUGGGUCCACACCAAAGUCCUGCGCCUUCAUCUUUUACACACCCUUCCUUCUCCAGCUUCUCCUGGAUGGGCCAGGACAGGCUCUCUUGGGCAGAUGCAAUCUCUGCUGGAGUCAGUCCCACUUUAGGGGCAGGGUCCCUUGAGAAUGAAGGAAGACAGGUCUGUGGGGAGUAGGAGUUGCAUAGCAGCCUGAUUGGUAUGUCAGUCAGCAAUGGCAUUUCCCUGGAAUGCAGAGAGUUCCCAUGAGAGUGUUCCAGAAUUUUAAUGAUGGCCACUGAUGAUGGCAAUAAGAGGGAAUCAAACAAUCUGUGGACUUACAACCUAUUCUCUAAAUGGAAGUCAAGUCAAGACUUGGAAGAAGUCAAGAAUCCUCUAUAUUUCCACAAUUUUCCAAAGUCAUUUGCUACCCCAAAUACAUAACUGUUGUUCAUGUGAUAUGUUUACCUGUUUUCCUUUUGCUAAUUCAGAAACUAAGGUCAAUGCUUCAAGUUUGGCCUAUUGGGCUGAUGAGGCCAAGGGAAAGGAUCCUGACUGAUUUCCUUAGUGCUGGUAAUAGCACACAUGGCCAUCAGAUCACCAGAGUCAUUUCAGACAUAGAAAUCAUCUGGAUUUUCUAGCUCAGUCUCCUGGAAGUCCUCUCAUGGAAUUAAAAGAGAGUCAACAAAGUUAACAUAGACAUAAUUCGAUGUAAUUAGGGUCCCUGUCUUCUGUGUCACUAAUUAACUGUAUUACUUUGAAUAAGUUAGAAAAAUUCUAACUCUAGUUUCCUCAGCUAUAAAAUAGAGAGAAUAAUGGUACCACCUACCUUUGCCAGAAGGUGAAUUUGUAAGAGU